CAGCCUGCCAGUGACAAAGUUUAACGGCCGCGGUACCCUAACCGUGCAAAGGUAGCGCAAUCACUUGUUCUUUAAAUGAGGACUAGUAUGAACGGCAUCACGAGGGUUAUACUGUCUCCCCCCUUUUUUCAGUGAAACUGAUCUUCCCGUGAAGAAGCGGGAAUAUAAAUAUAAGACGAGAAGACCCCAUGGAGCUUUAAACUCAGAAUCAACUGCUACAAACUUAGCCUAAUAACUACGCAGGAAUGACUUCUAGUUUUAGGUUGGGGUGACCGCGGAGUAAAAUAAAACCUCCACGACGAAAGGAACUAACCGCCUAAACCAAGAGCCACAGCUCUAAGUAUUAAAACAUUAACCUAAUUGAUCCAAUUACUUGAUCAACGAACCAAGUUACCCUGGGGAUAACAGCGCAAUCCAUUUCAAGAGCUCAUAUCGACAAAUGGGUUUACGACCUCGAUGUUGGAUCAGGAUAUCCAAGUGGCGCAGCCGCUACUAACGGUUCGUUUGUUCAACGAUUAAAAUCCUACGUGAUCUGAGUUCAAA
rnacentral:rRNA from 1 species